rnacentral:tRNA from 1 species
UCCUCGGUGGCUCAGAUGGAUAGAGCGUCUGCCAUGUAAGCAGGAGAUCCUGGGUUCGAGUCCCGGUCGGGGCA